UACAGAGACCUCAAGCGUUAUCCGGAAUCAUUGGGCGUAAAGCGUUCCGAUAGGUGGUUUUACAAGUCAGAAGUGAAAUCUCUCAGCUCAACUGGGAGACUGUCUUUUGAAACUGUAAAACUAGAGGGGCAAAGAGGAAGCUGGAACGAACGGUGUAGUAGUGAAAUGCGUUGAUAUCGUUCGGAACACCAAUAGCGUAGGCAGGCUUCUGGGUGCCACCUGACACUGCUAGGACGAAAGCGUGGGUAGCGAAUGGG
rnacentral:rRNA from 1 species